rnacentral:rRNA from 1 species
AUUGAACGCUGGCGGCAUGCCUUACACAUGCAAGUCGAACGGCAGCACGGGGCAACCUGGUGGCGAGUGGCGAACGGGUGAGUAAUGCAUCGGAACGUACCUUUCAGUGGGGGAUAACGUAGCGAAAGUUACGCUAAUACCGCAUAUUCUGUGAGCAGGAAAGCAGGGGAUCGCAAGACCUUGCGCUGAUUGAGCGGCCGAUGUCAGAUUAGCUAGUUGGUGAGGUAAAGGCUCACCAAGGCGACGAUCUGUAGCGGGUCUGAGAGGAUGAUCCGCCACACUGGAACUGAGACACGGUCCAGACUCCUACGGGAGGCAGCAGUGGGGAAUUUUGGACAAUGGGGGCAACCCUGAUCCAGCCAUGCCGCGUGAGUGAAGAAGGCCUUCGGGUUGUAAAGCUCUUUCGGCCGGGAAGAAAUCGUAUGGGUUAAUACCCUGUGCGGAUGACGGUACCGGCAUAAGAAGCACCGGCUAACUACGUGCCAGCCGCCGCAGUAA